GGCAUCUAAGCGUGAAGCCCCCCUCAAGAUGAGAUAUCCCAUCGCAAGAGUAAGACCCCUUGAAGACGACGAGGUAGAUAGGGCAGAGGUGGAAGUGCAGCAAUGCAUGUAGCUGACUGUUACUAAUCGGUCGAGGGCUUAACCAGAA
rnacentral:rRNA from 1 species